rnacentral:rRNA from 1 species
GCAAGUCGAGGGGAAACGACAUUGGAAGCUUGCUUCCGAUGGGCGUCGACCGGCGCACGGGUGAGUAACGCGUAUCCACCCUGCCCACCACUUGGGGAUAACCUUGCGAAAGUAAGACUAAUACCCAAUGACGUCCAUAGAAGACAUCUGAAGUGGAUUAAAGAUUUAUCGGUGAUGGAUGGGGGUGCGUCUGAUUAGUUUGUUGGCGGGGUAACGGCCCACCAAGGCAUCGAUCAGUAGGGGUUCUGAGAGGAAGGUCCCCCACAUAGGAACUGAGACACGGUCCUAACUCCUACGGGAGGCAGCAGUGAGGAAUCUUGGUCAAUGGGCGCGAGCCUGAACCAGCCAAGUAGCGUGCAGGAAGACGGCCCUAUGGGUUGUAAACUGCUUUUUUAUGGGAAUAAAGGAAAUCACGCGUUGAUUUUUUGCAGGUACCAUACGAAUAAGGAUCGGCUAACUCCGUGCCAGCAGCCGCGGUAAUACGGAGGAUCCAAGCGUUAUCCGGAUUUAUUGGGUUUAAAGGGUGCGUAGGCGGGAAAGGAAGUCAGUUGUGAAAUUUUAUGGCUCAACCAUAAACUUGCAGUUGAAACUCUUUUUCUUGAGUACACAUGAGGUGGGCGGAAUUUGUGGUGUAGCGGUGAAAUGCAUAGAUAUCACAAGGAACUCCAAUUGCGAAGGCAGCUCACUGGGGUGUAACUGACGCUAAUGCACGAAGGUGUGGGUAUCAAACAGGAUUAGAUACCCUGGUAGUCCACACAGUAAACUAUGAAUACUCGCUGUUUGCGAUACACAGUAAGCGGCUAAGCGAAAGCA